CAAAGGUUUUUGAAAAUAAACACGCCGCAGUGCCAAAGCCAUUUCACAUUUGGAAAAAUGCGACAGUCCACUAAUCUAUGAAUGGGGCGCCGAGGAACCCCGGUGACAAAUGUUAUCUCAGCGUGGCAUAGAAGGUUCAAACCCAUUCAGCCUCCGACUCACAGGCCACUGUGAAGAUUAUGUCACCAUAAUCCCUAAGCAAGCUUUUUGUUGCAUAGAUGGGCAGGUGAUUCUAAGUGUGAGCAAAGCAGACCCGCAAGGCCAGCAGGGGGAAAUUAUUAUUAUUAUUUUUUUUCCUGUCAUGACAAUAGAAGUUUGGACAGCCGGAGUGUUGUCAUAUUGUAUGUACACAUUUGAGGUUUGGGGAGAUGUAAUUCCAAGCAUAUAAAACUGCCACAGCACAUGGAUUAUGUUUUCAUAUCUGUCCUUACCUUUUAUCAGUGAGGGAAACAAAUGUUUUUCACUUCUUUCUUCUUGUCAGUGAGCAAACCUCUUUUUUUAAACUUAAUAUAAUAAAGCAGCAAAUGAAGAUGCAGGGGAUUGGAAAGAUGUCAGCAUAAAUGGCACAUGCAGCCAGCCGGAUCCCAGCGGGAGCACAGCUUUAUGAGAAAAGGCCACUUUAAUUGAUUGCUGAGGAGCUAUUGAUAACUUAAAAGCAGCUGUUUUUUCCUGAUGGUUCGUCCUCUCACCUCCAAAAACAGUAAAACGCGUCACUUCCUGCCACACUUUACUUUAGAGCGGGGUUUGAUUUCACCACCAUCGUGUGAUCCGUUUUGCGUUAAUUGGAAAGACGACGCGAGGUCAGCGGCGGGGUUUUGAUUCACGGCAAAGUAAUUGAUGUUUCCCCUCAUUGGCGGAAGGUUUGGGGAGUUAAUCGCUGGACGCUCAAGGACACACAAGCAAGAUGUCCAGAAAUAAGACAGGAUUAAUUGAAAAUCUUAAUUACUUUCUAAGGGCAUAAACAUCUCAAUAUCAAUUAAAAUGUGUUUCCACUACACUUGGAGGAUAUGAGGUGCAGCAGUUAAUUAGAUGUAGAGACUGACGGGUGAGCUCACCGGUUUUCAAUAUAAGCCCUUCAAUUGAACUGCUAUGAUUUAAGGGCAUAAAUAAUGCAUGGGAGGCUUUGCCAUCAGACUUUUUUUUUUCUUUUCUAGCAUUUCUUUCUGGUUAUGUGUAAAUGUUCAGAGUCGCUAAUUCAGAGUUGAACAAAGUUGAAGGUUAGAUAGAUAAUAUAAAAGCAGGCUGUAUUGGGGUUUUUAAUUCAAAUUUCUUAAAUCGUAGAGUGCAUAUUAAGCAGAGUUGUAUGACUGAGGCCAGCAGGGAAAUAAUAUCCUCCAGCCGCUUUGCGAGAGCUGUGCGGUUGACUGAGCAGAUAAAAGCUCGGGUUAAAAAAAAAAAAAAAAAAAAAAAAGCUAGUGGAUGAGGAAAUGUUUUGGAGGAGUAACUGUGAUUGUUAUUCAGGGGACACCCCCCUCCCCAUCACCCUCGUACAACAGCCACCAGUGUAGCCUUGAGACCUGCCUGUCAUCUUGCUAAAUUUCACACUUUUUUCUCCUAUUUAUUCAUUUGUCAAUAUAUAUUUUUUGAAAUUCCCGUUCAUCUUUUCAGAAUUGUUUGUGCUAUUCCCCUCCUUCCCCUCCUCACUGCUGCUUUUCCGCUUCAGCUCAGGAAAGGGACCAGUCAUGAGCCAUUUAACCAUGGGAAAGCAGGAAGGCCCCUCUAAACUGGUAUUUCUCAACCAAUCUAGGUAGUGUAUUCGAAUUGCAGAGUAACAAAUGGACAGUGGAAGGGGUUUGUAAUGGUGAUUAGAGUCUGAAAUUGGUUCAGAUUUACAGUGUCAGUCAGAGAUGGAGCGGGAGGAAUAAGCAGUCUAAGCGGUCUAAUGGAUCCAUCAGCUUGCUUCGGCUGCUCAGUGGGCCGAGUGGGGUCACCAGCCAUCCGCGGGCUCCACAAAAGCACUUCAAUUUUGUUAGGAAAUGUAUCAAUUUAACUGACUCGAGCGGCACACUGAAAACCUAAUGAAUCUGGACUCAAUUUUCCAGCACACUGCCUCUAUGAACCGGAGGAAACAAUGUCGGCGGCGAAGGGGUGAAGCCGGGCCGCCGCCAUUGGCUGCCUCCGACUUUCCGGCCCUCGCCGCGACCAGUCAGGGGAACGGGGGCCGGCCUCCGUUUAUCCAGCGACAGUGGCGGCGCCGACUGCUGUCACUCAUCUAACAAUCACGUCAUUAAAGCUGUCAAUAUCUUGUUGGGAUGGAGAGAACCCGGCCCGUCCUCAAAGCGUCUGAUGGAUCUGCUCACACCUCCAGGAGGUAAACAGCAUUGAUUCUGUCCCACUAUCACCUCUAACUCGCUUCCAGCUCCCACCCAAUAAGCUCCUUUAUGACUAAUCACACCCAUUUACAGGACUGGUACAAGGCAUUUUUUUAAUUUCCAGAGGUACGCCCGCAGCUCUCAGACACACUGUGUCAGUAUUGAAAUGUUUCUGAGCUGUCACGUCUCGCCACUUCCUUAGCUCUAAUGUGAUCGAUCUGACCGGCUGCAGAGCCAUAACACGCCCCUCAGUGCAGAGCACUUUUGCUGGAACAUUUCAGGGCCAGCUGAACCUUGCCUCCCCUCGGGCCAUUAAAUGAAAAACUGGACCUCAAGUGGAUCUCUGAGUCCGUCCCUGAGCUUACAGGCUCAGUAAUGACAGAAAAUGUACGUGUCAGUACUACCAGAGAGCCAAAGGAUUAAAUAAUGCCCGUGUAAUAGUGAGAUCUGAGGUCUUGGCCUUGAUGUGUUAAGAACAUUUGCAAGACCACUUUAAUGACGAAACUCUGAGACUCCUGCCUUCGCAGACAUGUCAGGUCUUUUAUGGGAACCAUCUUUAAUUGCAGCCAAAAAGGUCUAUUAGUGAAGUCUCCCUGAGGCAUAUACUUUAUCCAUUAUAGAGGGUUGGAGGUGGCUUGGCAUGGGUUGAAUUUAUUAUGAAUUAUAAUAAAAAAGAAGCUUCUUCAACUGGGAUUUUUUUGCCAAAUCCAAGACCAAAAGGGAAGCAAUUUUUCCAAUCUUGCAUAAAAUAAAGUUGUUGUUUAUCAUCUUUGAGUGAGAACUUUCUCUACCAGCAAAGCAAAUGUCUGCAAAUGUCAUGGAUUGGUUUUAAAAUGCCCACUCAGAUCUUGUUGUUACACCCAUUAUUGCAGAGCGGCUGGAACACACAGAACGGCAUAAGCCCCAGUGGUGGAAGCAGAUGGCCCACAGGGGCAUGUUAGCCAGAUUUAAGACUUAUAAAGAACUGACACACACAAAUAAAUUUGGACAGUGUUGCCUUAACAUCUGAGAACGCUAUUUAACUCAUCCCAUCUCGGGAAGUUUUCACACUUCACACUUCAUUAACCUCCGGGGCACAGAUUCCCUGGGAAGUCAAGGAGGGAAAAUGCUUGUCUUUUUCAGAUAAAUCACUACCAAGAGGUAAUCUCUCAACAGCAACAUUUACAUGCACACUACACCAGAUGAUAACUGAUAUCCUGGUUAAGAUGCAACUAAGCAUGCUCUUUAGAAAUGCAUCUUUAUGUCUCGAUCACAGGCGUUCAUGUUUGCAUCGCAUGUGCUGCUGUAAAAAAAAAAAGAAAAAUCCUAAUCCAAAAAAAAAAAAAAAA